rnacentral:lncRNA from 1 species
AUGCUCCCAAAGGAACACUCCAAUCCUCACAUCCAAUCCCUUCCCCAUCCUCUACAAGUAGCCCUCUACCCACCCCCACCCCGCUCAAGACUAGGAUAUACACACCCUGGGAGGGGGGACCUGGUGAGAGACUCAGGAGACCCUCUGGAAUUGGGCUCAGGGCCUUUGAGCCCAACUCUGAGUAUGACUGAGAGGGAAGACAAGUUCCCAAUAGCCCCACAGACUUCUCAUCCAUUAGGAGGGUUAUGGCUGGGGGACAAGGCGGGGCCCUCUGAAGAGCAGAGGACUCUCUUAACUCUGGGUCUCAGCAUGACACUGGACAUUCAACCACAUUCUGAAAAAAUGGAAAUACUGGGCAUUCUCUGCAGUUUCAUACUAAAUAUUUUAGAGUUUCUAAUUUUCUAAAAAUUGCAAAUGUACAUCCUAGAAUUGCGCACACUCGCUCUACUUCUCAACCUCCCAAAAUCCAGACUCCACCUACUAGAAAUGUUUUUCACCUUUCUGUAUGCUGUGCCCUCCACGGAGAACAACCCCACCCUCCCAGCAUCGCUUUCUCUUGCUAACUCCUCUUCAUUCAGAAGGAUUCACCCCAGGGCAACUACCUCCUCUAGGAUACAGUCUGGGACCUCAUUUUCCAUUGCUUGGGGAUAGCCAUUCCCCUCUUCUGUGCUCCCAAAGUAUCUGCUUUAUAGUGCUAUACUGCAAGCCAUUCAUUAAAUAUUAGCUCUACUAUUAGCUCUGCACCCCACAUUCUAAUCUUCUUCUGAUCAGGGUUAUUUAUAUUUGUAUUACAGAGCCAAACAUCCAAUACAUACUUGCUAAAGUGAAUUAAACUCAGCUCAUGGUGGUCUCAUCUCAAAUGCAAACUUCUCAACAAGGCUUUCAACUUUCUCUAAAAUAGCACCCUUAUCAAGCUCCAGCCCCUUACCCUAUUUUACUUUUCUUUAUAAUAUUAACUACCUAACAUUAUAUUAGAUAUUUAUUUAUCUUCCCCUUCUAGGAUAUGAGUUCCACAAGGGCAGGGACUUUAUUUUAAUGACUGCUGAAUUCACUGUACCUACAAUAGGCAGGCAUUCAAUAAAUACUGUUGGAUAAGUAAAUAAAUGCACCAAAAAUAUAUGAACUAUCUCAGCUUUCUCAAACUUCACCCAUUUGUAUAUCUUUUGCCAAUCCACCCACCACUGUUAUUAUUUACUUAAUAAUUUGACUUUAAAAUGAUAUGAUCCACUCUUUCAUUUAAGUAAAAUUAUUUUCAAAAGAAACUAUACAUAGAAAACCAGUAAAUUGAAGAUAAUCAUAAAAGCAGGUGCCAAAUGAUAAAUUUAAAAUGUCUGUAGGUCUCCUAAAAUUACCUUAUGGUCCAGUACUGGUACCUAGACUGUAACUUACCACACUUUGAGAAACGCUAUCGACCUGAACAAAGAGACCUUCAAUUCCCAAACUGUGCCAGAUUGCAAAGUAUAUUAUGCAUGCUUCUCACCUACUACUGUAAAAUAUCCACAACCUGAAAAAUUCAGCACCUACACCCUAAGCAUUUCUCUGUCAUGGAAGCUUCAAAGGUUCAGCCCCAAUACCACGCUUCUCAGAUUGCAGUGAAUGAACCUCAAGCACACACAAGAGUUUUUCUGUUUCAUUUUCUCUCUGAAAGAAAAAAAAAAUUCUCACAGAAAAAAAGAAACAGAGUGAAAGACCCAUAUUGACAGCUCUUACCCAAAGACUCAACUCUGAGAUUUAUCUACGUCGCAGGCUGAGACAUAGACAGCUUCUGAGUCUAUGUAAUGCCCCCAAAUAGAAGAUACGGGUCAAUAGUUACUCCAAACGAUGGAUUGAUAACUGUGCAAAACAGCAGUAAUUAUGAUCAGUUUCCAAAAAUUUUCAAAUUUUCUUCACUUCUACAAAGUCAAGACUCUUCUUCACGAGUCUCUCAAAAUUAGUUGCUAAGCUUAGUUUUUUAGAAACCCCUUACAUUUAGUCAAAGGAUCAGUCUUCAAAUUUCCUCUCUUGGCUAAGAGGGAACAUGAGAUGUUUUCAGUUACAGAAAAGAAUAUUUUCCAA